CUUGGCUAAUGUGUCUCGGCUAAGGUGUCUUGGCUAAGGUGUCUUGGCUAAUGUGUCUCGGCUAAUGUGUCUUGGCUAAUGUGUCUUGGCUAAGGUGUCUUGGCUAAUGUGUCUUGGCUAAGGUGUCUUGGCUAAGGUGUCUUGGCUAAUGUGUCUUGGCUAAGGUGUCUUGGCUUAUGUGUCUUGGCUAAGGUGUCUUGGCUAAGGUGUCUUGGCUAAUGUGUCUUGGCUAAUGUGUCUUGGCUAAUGUGUCUUGGCUAAUGUGUCUUGGCUAAUGUGUCUUGGUUAAUGUAUCUUGGCUAAGGUGUCUCGGCUAAUGUGUCUUGGCUAAGGUGUCUUGGCUAAUGUAUCUUGGCUAAUGUGUCUUGGCUAAGGUGUCUUGGCUAAUGUGUCUUGGCUAAGGUGUCUUGGCUUAUGUGUCUUGGCUAAGGUGUCUUGGCUAAGGUGUCUUGGCUAAUGUGUCUUGGCUAAUGUGUCUUGGCUAAUGUGUCUUGGCUAAUGUGUCUUGGUUAAUGUAUCUUGGCUAAGGUGUCUCGGCUAAUGUGUCUUGGCUAA